rnacentral:rRNA from 1 species
GACGAACGCUGGCGGCGUGCUUAACACAUGCAAGUCGAACGGAAAGACCCUGCUUUUGUGGGGUGCUCGAGUGGCGAACGGGUGAGUAACACGUGAGUAACCUGCCCUUGACUUUGGGAUAACUUCAGGAAACUGGGGCUAAUACCGGAUAGGAGCUCCUGCUGCAUGGUGGGGGUUGGAAAGUUUCGGCUGUUGGGGAUGGACUCGCGGCUUAUCAGCUUGUUGGUGGGGUAGUGGCUUACCAAGGCUUUGACGGGUAGCCGGCCUGAGAGGGUGACAGGCCACAUUGGGACUGAGAUACGGCCCAGACUCCUACGGGAGGCAGCAGUGGGGAAUAUUGCACAAUGGGCGGAAGCCUGAUGCAGCAACGCCGCGUGCGGGAUGACGGCCUUCGGGUUGUAAACCGCUUUCGCCUGUGACGAAGCGUGAGUGACGGUAAUGGGUAAAGAAGCACCGGCUAACUACGUG